UUCAAUAUUAGGUGGCAAAAGUGACAUGGAACCAAUUGAGAUUGCUUUGGAAGGUAGAGAAGAGAACAGGUUGGAAAUUAAUUAGAACCAAUUAAUUCAGUGAAGGGUCAAAAAUGAUGUCACGUUUUGAAGAGGGUGUGUGUGUUGUGGUUGUUGUCCAGUUGUUUUUACUGGGGCGACGGUUUCAGUCAGUCAGUCAGGCAAAAUGCCAAUCGGGAUAGGGGCAUAUUCUUCCCGAUUUCCGUUACGACUGCUACCACCGAGGUUAAUUUGGGAACUGCAAUCUUCAGGAAUCGAACUCUGUACCUAUCGUAAUCCUAACUCAUUACUCCGCACUCUAGUAUCACCCCUUUGGGCUAACGCUCUCACUUCUUUACCUCCUAUGCCUCAUGAUUGAUUUGUUAGCUUGAUUUAUGAGACGUGUUUAGCCUUAUAUGUGCUAACCUACUAGCCUGUGUGUGAAGCUUAAUGGAAUUCUGAACUUGUAUUGUUCACCUGGAUUGGAAGAAUCUGAAUGCAAAUAUUGCACCUUGGCAUGAACAUAGUAAUUGCAGGCUUAUUCUUAUAGAUUCCAUCAUCUGUAUUAGUUUUCUAGAAAAAUCUUUGACUAUAACCCUUUAUUGAUCCUGCCUGCAUGCCAAAAACUUUCACUGCUUGGAAAACUAUGGUGACAUUCAGUUAACUAGAGCAUUGGCUUUCUAAGUUGACCUCAUCUUUGUUAAUGUUGCAUUACUGAAAUAAGCGUAUGAACACAGGCUGCUCAUGUCAGGCAAUGACAAAUCUAGUCUUUGUUAAGACAUUUGAUGGGCAAUAGUAGUUAUUUCCAAUUGUACUGUCUUUAAAAGAAAAAUUGAAAAUCUGUAAAAACAAUAGUGGUUGUGGCUGGAAUUCAUGCAUGUGCUGCAGAUACAAGCAAUGCAUCUAAGAGAGGAGAAGCCAUCUUCAGCCAUUCAAAUUGUUCAUAUUGUUUGUUCACGAUAAAGUUGUUGCUUACCCCUCCCUGACUCGUUUAUGUAUUCAUUAGUUCCAUAAUAGUUUUGCAUAGCAUUCAUGUCAUCUCCUGCAAGUAUCAUAUUUACAUGCCUCAGUAUGAGGCAUGACUACCUUAGUUCAGUAAAGGAAACUUACAUCUGUGAAUCAUUGCCCUUCGUGUUUUUAUAUUGGAAGUGCCAACAAGACUCUGACCAAUGUUGUUUCUGUUUUCAGUUAUCAGUUGCUUAAUUUGAACAGGAUUGACUUCUAACGAUAUAUGUAGGUUUCCAUAUAGUUGUGUGAUUAAAAUUUAUAGCAUUUUACCAUUCAUGAUAGUUAAUGCCUUGUCCUGGUUGUGUUAUCAUUCUUUGUUUACUGAAUGUGGUAGAACUGUAUAGUAUCUAACUGCAGGAGGAUGAUUUGUAGGUAGUUUGUAAUGAACUUUAAUAAUAUCAAAAUAUCCUCACUUUUUCCCUUAUGGGAUUUCAGAUUCUGUUGUCCCUGCAGAUUUGAAUAAGUAGCCAUGUUGGUCUAGAUCUCUGUCUUUUGAAGAUUUGAUAUAGUUAUUGUUGAACAAUGAGUAGCACUUGAAAUUCAAAAUCUAGAGCCAACAAAAUGUGCAUUGGACCAAUCAGCAUCACUUGCCAAGAUUAGCAUUUUGCCUGAAACUUACAUCAUGAUUAAAAAAAAUAAAAUUGAAAU